ACAAGAGCUAGAGGAAUUUUAGGAGGAGCCUUUUCAUUCAGGAAGGGGUGGAAAUAAUUUUCCAUGUGGGAAGGGCAUGCUAAGUGGGAAGAACUGAUGGAAAAGGGAGUCCAGGAGAUAGGAAAGCACAUUUAAGGCAGGCAGUGGGCUGGGCGUGGUGGUGCACCCCUGUAAUCCCAGAACUAGGAGGGCGAGGCCAGAGGAUUGCCAUGAGUUCCAGGCCAGCCUGGAUUAUAUAGCAAGACUCUGUCGCAGUAAAAUAAAAUAAAUAAAGCAGGCAGCGAGCUGUUGGCGAAGGUGUUAGACUGAAUAAGGCCCCCAGAGACUUCCACUCUAGUGGGAAGCGACAGUCGACAGGGGCUGGGCCGGUGUGCAUGCGUGUUGGCUGCUGUUGGCCUGUCAAGGCCUGACUCGGCAGAUUGUUCCCGCGGGGAUCCCGGGAUCCCGACAGAACCCUGCCAAGGAGAAGCCAGAGCAGCCUGGGCCAGGCCCUCAGCUCCAUGUGGAUGCACAGCCCUAGCCCUGUUCCCUCCCCUGGGCUGGCAAAGGAGCAGAUCACAAGGCCGUCCCAGAUGUCCAGGCCUGGCCAGACCGCAGUCCUCCCGGCAGCUUGCUGGUGUUGGCAGUGGGCCCCUCCUUCCUCUCCGUGUGCCACUGAGGCACAGCCUGGGAAUUUGGGUGGAUUUAUUUUACCUGCUGAACACUCACAGGUGUUACCUCCCCCUACUUUUGAUUCCUGCGGUCUUGACUCAGUUUUGACUCCGUGGUCUGUCACCUCCCUGGCCUCUUAUUUUUGGAUCGGGGUGUCUCUCCUGCCAAAAGCAAGAUAAAUAUUCCAGUUCAGCUGGGUUGUAGCCUUGGUGCUUGGCUAAAAUUUGCUUUCCAGAUUUACUUUUGGCCUGGGCCCUUGGAGAGCCAAAUUGUCCAGUUCCCGAUUCACCUUUGUUCCUUCGGGUGACCUGCUGAGACGCCGUGGCAUCAGAUUGGCGCUGUGUAAAUGAGCAGGGCAAGCUACCGAGGCCAAAUCAGUGCUCAUCUACAAAUGUGCACUGUCAAAUACAGCUACAGGAGAGGCGCCUCCCGAAGACACUUGGAGAGCAUGGUACCUGCAUCCUGGAGUCCAAUACCCAGUGGAGAAAACCAGAGGCAGAGGAGAGAGGGAGCCAAGCCUGGAGGACUCUGCUCCCUCGGACAGUGAUUUCCAUGCAGGGGCUAGAACAGAAGAGGCAGAAAGCCAAACAGAAGCGGAGGACCCCCCAUACCCUGCAGGCCUCCAUCUGGAAGCAAGACCAAGCUGGGAGAAAGGAAAAUCUCUGACCUGGAGUGACAUUUGUGUGGCCUUUAUUAAUUUCAUCAGGGUAGAAAACAAAAUAAAACAAAACAAAACAAAAAAACCGAAUACUGCACCCUUCAGAGAAUUGGAAGGGUUGGGGCAACAAAAAAAUCAUUUUCUGUUGGUGAUCGACUGCAUCCUGUUCAUUCAAUAAAAUGCAUGUGCCCAACAAA